rnacentral:rRNA from 1 species
UAAUACAGAGGGUGCGAGCGUUAAUCGGAGUUACUGGGCGUAAAGGGCGCGUAGGCGGUUAUGUGAGUGUGAUGUGAAAGCCCCGGGCUUAACCUGGGAAGUGCAUCGCAAACGACAUGACUAGAGUAGGUGAGAGGGUGGCGGAAUUUCCGGUGUAGCGGUGAAAUGCGUAGAGAUCGGAAGGAACGUCAAUGGCGAAGGCAGCCACCUGGUACCAUACUGACGCUGAGGCGCGAAAGCGUGGGGAUCGAACAGG